GUGACUACAAGAAAGCUUCAGAAGUAGGGAUAUGUUUGGUGAUUCCCGAUGGUUGUGGAGAUAAUUAUGGCGUCUAGAGGAUGGAGGAGAGAGCGAGAGACGGGUGUUACCAGUGUUGUAAUUAGUCCUUUCCCGUAAUAGCUAGUUCUGUUAUCCGUGUGUGAGAGAUGAUACCUCAUGUAGUAGUUUCAUUUGGAGAUCUUGUUGUUGUUGAAGCUGUUCUUGUAGAUAUUAUCCGCUUCCAAGCACCAAAGAAAACAAAAACGAGUGUUGCUAUCUGUAAUGUUCUAAUCCGAUCAACUCGUGGAUAAACAUCAAUGUUUGAGAAAGGACAGAUACAACAAUCAACAGGUGGCAGACUCAGUAGGGGUAUGCGAUCAACCAUUGUGGGUUCUUGGGCAUCAAGCAGCAGGAUGCAAGAUGAUUGCCCCCCGAGUGUUCCAUGAAUUGCGCGUCCUCUGGUAAGAGGUUAUUUCUUUGUUCCCAGGUGUGUGUGUGUGGAUGUAGUUUCUUGUAGUUUUACUGUGAGUCCUCGAAAUCUAUGGCAAAAGAAGUCUUGGCCUGCCGAAAGGUCGUCUUGUUCUGCAAGAAUUCCAUGCGAGAACUGUGGUAUCAUUAUUUUACUGCUGCUGCUGUUUGUUCUUUUCCUGCACUGGUCGGCUCGAUGACAUGGCUAUAUACUGCACCUAAUUUGUCGUUAUUGAGUAUUUUUAGCAAUGGUACAAUUUCAAUUUGUAGAUAUGGUACUUGCAAACUUAGAUGAUGAGCAGGAGAUUGAAAUACUGAAGGUGUCACCGUCAGAGCUUAUGGAUGUGGGCCUUGGUUGGCUGCCACUGUGCUUUUACUUGUUCUAAUUAUUUGCUGUGCUGAGGCUUUUGAUUGGGACCUUGUCUGGAUAUACACAGAUAGAAAAAUGUUGUUUGAUGAAAUCAAAGUGUAAGACUUGAAUGAGAUUGAUUUGUCAAAGUUCAGAUUUUUUUUU